AUUGAACGCUGGCGGCAGGCCUAACACAUGCAAGUCGAGCGGAUGAAGGGAGCUUGCUCCUGGAUUCAGCGGCGGACGGGUGAGUAAUGCCUAGGAAUCUGCCUGGUAGUGGGGGAUAACGUCCGGAAACGGGCGCUAAUACCGCAUACGUCCUGAGGGAGAGAGUGGGGGAUCUUCGGACCUCACGCUAUCAGAUGAGCCUAGGUCGGAUUAGCUAGUUGGUGGGGUAAAGGCCUACCAAGGCGACGAUCCGUAACUGGUCUGAGAGGAUGAUCAGUCACACUGGAACUGAGACACGGUCCAGACUCCUACGGGAGGCAGCCGUGGGGAAUAUUGGACAAUGGGCGAAAGCCUGAUCCAGCCAUGCCGCGUGUGUGAAGAAGGUCUUCGGAUUGUAAAGCACUUUAAGUUGGGAGGAAGGGCAGUAAGUUAAUACCUUGCUGUUUUGACGUUACCAACAGAAUAAGCACCGGCUAACUUCGUG
rnacentral:rRNA from 1 species